AUGAACGCUGGCGGCGUGCUUAAGACAUGCAAGUCGUACGAGAAAGUAGCAAUAUGAGUACAGUGGCGCACGGGUGAGUAGUACUUGGGUAACGUGCCCUCCUGCGGGGGAUAACCAGGCGAAAGCUUGGCUAAUACCGCAUAGUGCGGACAGAACUUCGGUUUUGUUCGUUAAAGCCGUAAGGCGCGGGAGGAGCGACCCCAGGCCUAUUAGCUAGUUGGUAAGGUAACGGCUUACCAAGGCUUUGAUGGGUAGCUGGUCUGAGAGGAUGAUCAGCCACACUGGUACUGGAACACGGACCAGACUCCUACGGGAGGCAGCAGUUAGGAAUUUUGCGCAAUGGGGGGAACCCUGACGCAGCAACGCCGCGUGAGUGAUGAAGGCCUUCGGGUUGUAAAGCUCUUUUAGUCGGGACGAAAUAAAUGACGGUACCGACAGAAACAGCACCGGCUAACUCCGU
rnacentral:rRNA from 1 species